CACCCCAGUGCACAAAUUUCAUUCACCAGGUCUCUAGUAUAUGAUAUGGAACAUCUUUUCAUAUGCUUAUUUGCCAUCUAUGCAUCUUCUUUAGUGAGGGGUUCAACCAACUGGGAGUUAGAUAUGCACUGACCACAAGGGGGCAACGCGGAACAUGGUGGGUGUUGGUGACCCAGUGCUGGCAGCGGGCGGCGGUGGAGGUUCUGCCAGUCCCAAUGAGACACAACGAGAGUGGAAUUGCAGCAGAAUGGUGGAGCAGAGAGGAAGAGAGAGUUAGAAACAUCGAUAAGAGAGAAACAUCAAACAACUGCCUCCUGCAAACCUCCCACUGGGGAUAUG